ACCAAAUAUUCUUCUCCUUUUGAGCUCUAUCUCCUGUAGCUACAUAAUUAGAUGAGAAUCAUGGUAGCUACUUUUUCAAAGUUAUGUCAGCAUAGAUUUGACUAUGUGGCCCUUGCGUGCUUGGAGUCUUCUUGAAUAGCUAGGGCCACAUAUGUGCUUUGAUGUGUUAUGCUCCAGUGUGACCUGCCUAAAGAAUGGAGCAACCAUGACCCUGUAAAAUCAUUCUUCCCACCUGUAGCAACAAGAUGUAACCCGAUGAGUGUCCAGCCUGCUAUUUUUCUUGAGCUUCAGAUUUCUUAUUCAGUGAAGAAAUUAUUCACUCAUAAUUGUAUUUUAUGUGGCUGUUCCAAUUGAGGGGAAUGCUUCUUAGACCCUGUGCUUCAUGUGAUGGUCUCAUGCUCUUAAGUGACAAGGGAAGCAGAUGUCAUUUUUCCUUCAGGAAAGGGCAGGUCCUGGACAAACGCUUGGUUUAUGGGCAGAUGGAAAAUUUCAUUUCUCCCUGGGAAGAGGAGGUCCACCAAGCCAAAGUCUGUAGAACGUAUCCCAGGUAUUGGUGCCAUACCCAUGGGACCAUAGUUCAAUAAAGGGCAAGAAGAGGUCAUUGAGAAGGAAGAUCUGUGGUAUUUGUGCCAAAGUCUCCAACUGCUGCCAUUCAGGCAUCAGCUCUUUUGGCCUCAAUGCCAAGCCAGCAUCAGUUUGGGGACAGUGUGCCACACGUUGCACAUUCAGGGAUUUCCCAUGCUGCAAGGAGAUCCAGGGCUCAAAAAAAAAAUGCAGGGCAGUGCAUAUAGAGGCAGUGCAUGCUGCCUCAAAUAGAGCCUGGCUGCCCGGAGACAUGUUCCAGCUGCUGGCCAGUCUCUAAGCUGCAGGAGUGACAUGGCUGCAGCUUCCCCGGCUCCCAGGUCCCCAGGUACAGCUGCCAGGGCCAGCACAGUUGCUAGUCUGAGCCUCCCCUCCCCUGCCCAGGGUAACCUGCUGUGUGCCAGCAGGCACGUGGCACUAGUGUUCUCUGGGAACACCUAGCAACUGGACACCUUGUGCCGCUGCUGCUAGUUGUUCCUGGGGAGCCAAAUGUCCACGCUUGUCUGGAUGUGGCCACUGUAGUUUUUCUCCCUGUCCUGUGGUACUCAGUAGGGCAGCUAUUGGCAGAUAAGAAUCACUGGUCUGGUGCAUUGUUGAUGAAUUAAGUAGCCUGAUGUGAUAUAGUAUCACUGUUAGGUAUGCAAACACUUAUUCACAAGAUAAAGCCAGAGAUUUCAAAUAGGAAUCUAGAAUGUCAAAAACCUGACCUGUUCUGGUCUUUAAAUUCUUUGUAAUAGAAAAAUUGGUCUAUUAUUUUUCCAUGGUCAAGAAAGAAAUUAAAUUAGUUUUUGGAAUCAGAUGCUGCUAAAUUCAGUUUGUGAAGGGGUAAAUUUAGUCUAAAAAAGUUAAGAACCACUGCAGCAGACAGACAAGCAAGCUGAUGUCCACUCUUCUCCCCCACCCUUUUCCGUUUAAGCUGUGGAGAUAGUGCCACCUACAUUGUUAGAGGCCCAGUAGCUCUGCACCUCCCAGGAGUCAGCAACACCUUGACAGAAUUGCUAAGCAGGCACCCUAUCGCAAGCUAUGAGGAUACUCUGCAGGCAUCUGUCACCAACUUAAUAUGCCAUUGGUGGAACACUCCACUACUAUGCCUGUUCACAACUGAGGGCAAUGCCAAGUGUCCAAACUUAUGCUUCUGGAGGCUCUGUGAAUCUGGUAUAAUUUCCAGAUACUAAGGUCCUGCUGUGGAACAAAGGUCUCCCAUACUCCUCCUUAUGGAUUCCAUUAAUGUCUAGGGCAAUUGUUAAGCAGAUGAGACUAAUACUUGCUCAUUUUGAUCAUUCUCUACUAGUCAAGGUAUUCUGCCUGACUGACCAGUGGCAGAUGUCUACCUAUCACUGAUCACAUCAGGCUCUCAUUCUCUCUCACCUCUUGCACAAGGUCAGGGUCGAGUAUAGCAGAUGCCAUGGGACAGGACUGUCCAUUUCAUGUUUGGGAAAUCCAAUCACAGAACAAAGCUGUCUUCCCCCUGCCCCUCACUGAAAAGGAAAGGAUCAUGAUUCAGGAAGUUCCAGACUAUGUAGACUUGGUGCUGGCACUAGUACUGAAGAUUUUCUGCUCUUUCCUCUGGUUUAGAUUUUUCUUCAGCUCAGUAAAUGCACUUCUGGCUGCAGAAACACAGACAAUCACCCCCAGGCUUCUCUCAUCUGUCAGUAUCCAAUUUUUUCAAGAUGGAAAUUUUACACUUUGCCCCUAGCUGAAGAACCAGUUGCAACAGAAGACCUCAACACUCCUCUAAGGCACUGAAUCCCACAACGCAGCCUCCAUACCUGCUUUUUUUGGUUCUUACAACUUGAUGCCCAGGAAUGGACAUGGCCUUUCCCUCUUUUAAGUCCUUGCUUGGGAGCACAAGGUGCAGAGGGCAUGUGCUGCCCCAGAAGAGACAGCUGUUCCACGUGCCAAGUUUGCAUGGAUGGGGGACACCUCAAUGACACUGUCUUGAUGAGAGACUGUUACAGGGGGGUAAGGAGCCAUUAGUUUCAAGUAAAAGAAAAAAUAUUGUGUAUUUGCAUUGUGCAUUUGCCUUUAAGCCACUAGAGGGAGCCUUGAUCACAUGCUCUAGGCCAGCAAGUUGCAUGCUGUUUUAAGAGCUCGCAGCAAGUGAAGGCAAACGCCAUUCCCAGCAGAUCUUUCCAGGGACGUUUAUGUAGGUGGAAUGUGAUCCUCACAGCUAUAAACCAGCCUAGAUUUGCCCAGCAUGCUAGUGUUAUCAUCCAUACAUUUAGUUAUCACAGCAAGGGGUGGAUUUUUUUCUCACAGGAUGACCACUCCAGCUACAGGGUGCCUGCUAGUGCUCUGCUGGUGUGUUAGCAUGGCACUGGCUGGAGGACUAGUGCUGAUGGGAAGCUCUUUGGGACAGAGGUUGUCAUUUCAUUCUGUUUGCUCACCCCAGGGAUGGAUUAAUGCAGGGGCACCAGGGCAGCACAGCGCAGGCAGGCAUCCUGGCUUUAGGCAUCUGGGGCAAGCAGCGUGUGCCUCCUUCCCUCUGGCUGGGCCAGGGCCACAGGCUAAGGGGUGGGCGUGGGGCUCCAGGCAGGUGGUGGUGCCUUUCCAGGGCCAUCUGUUGCCAGGAGGACCCAUGGGCAGCCCCACUCCCACUCCUCACCAUUUGUGGGUGGCCACUGGCCCCAGCACCACCCCACCCCACUGGGGCAGCAGAGCAGAGCCCAUACCCCCUCCCCCAGGCCUGGCCCUGGCCUUAGCAUCAGCCUGUCCUGCAGCCCUGGGGACCGCAGCCCCAGCUGGGUGAUACCUGCUGGGCAGAGGGGCCAAGCCAGGUUGGGGCUGGGGCCAUCUUAAUCUCAGCAACGAUUGCGCCCCCUGGCUUGUCCCGGAUGUGCAGAGGAGGCCAGGCGGGCCCAGCCACAGCCCCAUGGUGCGUGCAGAAGAAACCUGCCCUCACCUGAUGGGAGGCCUCCAGGGCCCCAAUAAAUUUUAAUCUACCACUGGGUCAGCCCUCUGGAUAGUGGGGUGUUGGGCUAUGACGGGGGUGACCACAACAUGGAUAAGCAGUAGUGAUAUGUCCUAUAUGGGUGUUUCUUAAUGUCCCCUCUCUAAGCCCUCCUCAUCCUUUCCCUGCCUUGUGACUUACAGCAUAUAAGGCACUGUCCAAGGGUGAGAUGACUCCAAACAUUAUUUAGUAUAAAAAAUGAAACCAAGAGCUGUCUGAGCCUCCAAGACACAGAUAAGCAUCACAAAGCAGCUUCCUGAGAGAAUGAAAAAUGCUCUUUAGAAAUAAUCACUGUAUUCAAUUUUUUUUAUAAGUUUUUUAAUGCAUUGGAAUUGUGAGACUCUUGGAGUCUGAGCAGGUGAAAAGUUUUCAUGUGUGCAAUAAUCAUUACACCAGCGCAAAAUAAAUAUAGUAAGCAGACACCAGAUACCCCUAACUCAGGUAAUUUCAUCCUGUCCAGUAGAAAAUUGCCCUUGAAAGAAUCAGAAAUAAAACUUGUGUAAAAUCUGUGUAA